rnacentral:misc_RNA from 1 species
GGAAAGAAGAAAGAUAGACUUACCCAUGCCAGUGACUGUUUUCCGGAAGAUAUAUCUCCUGCUGUGGCUGGCAUAAACAAGGUCAAAGCAACAAAGAAGCAUGGGGGCAGGCAGAGAAAGGGCAAUGAACAUUUCUCCAAUGAGAUUCAUAUUUCUCCCACUAGGGGAAAUGCAUCUAGCAACUCUUCAAUCUGUAAGGAAUUUUCUGAGGAACGGUUACAUUUUUCAAGAGAGACUGAACCUAGAGUCUCUAAAGAGGAUUUGCAAUCACAAGUUAAAGUUAAUGCAGAAAUUAAAAUAUGUUCUGGCCUGGAUGUUGGGCGAAGGUUGCCAGAAUCACAAAAUUCAAACAAGCUGCUUCCUUCAACUAAAUCCAAGGGGUGGCAACUUCCAAGAAAAUCUGGAGUGAGCAAGGGAAGGUCUAAAGUCUCUGACAAUGCAAGAAGCAAGAGCGCAAAUGGUUUUAGACAUAAAGGAAAUAAACAGCAGUCAGUUGAUAAGAACAAAAUCAAGGAGAAGAAUGGUUGUGAUCUUGUUGUUUGCAAAGCAGAAGAUGAUCUAGAAACAAGAAACUGUAAUGCUGAUGAUUUUGGAAAAAAAAAUCCUGGUGACAAUGUUGCAUCC